rnacentral:rRNA from 1 species
GUAGUCAUGCUUGUCUCAAAGAUUAAGCCAUGCAUGUCUAGUUAACAUUAUACCGUGAAACUGCGAAUGGCUCAUUAAAUCAGUUAUCGUUUAUUUGAUAGUACCUUACUACUUGGAUAACCGUGGUAAUUCUAGAGCUAAUACAUGCUGAAAACCCCAACUUCGGGAGGGGUGUAUUUAUUAGAUAAAAAACCAACGCCCUUCGGGGCUUCUUGGUGAUUCAUGAUAACUUCACGGAUCGCAUGGCCUUGCGCCGGCGACGGUUCAUUCAAAUUUCUGCCCUAUCAACUUUCGAUGGUAAGGUAUUGGCUUACCAUGGUUUCAACGGGUAACGGGGAAUGGGGCGGGGGCGGCGGGCCGGGCGCGGGGCGCGGCGGGC